rnacentral:lncRNA from 1 species
GCCAGGGCUGAGCAGGAGUAGGGGUGAGCCUCUGAUCCUGGAGGCUGCGGGUGGAGGGCACGAGCCAUGUUAACAGUGAACAUGAAGAGCAGGGAGGUGUGGCUCUGGGGACAGUGGUCACUUCCCCUUCCCCCAGCCCUAGGGGACCCCCUGAGUCAGAAGAAGGAUGUUUUCUUGUUGUCCCCCCCAGUUUUCACCUGGAAACCUCUUCAGUGCCCCCAGCAGGCCUUCCUCUGGGGACCCUGGCACACUGGUGUGCUGGGGUCUGGGCUGCUCAUGUGUGUCUGGGGAAAUGUCCCCACAGUGAGGCUCCCAUGAGGGUCAGGCCCUGGAUCCCCGGCCCUGGGUCAUAGAGCCCCUUCCAACUUGGAAACAAGGGCCAGACUUCCAAGGCUGAGGGGGUGGAAUGGGGGGCAGGAGCCGGGCAGGGAAGAGGCUCCCUGGCCGGGGCUUGUCCACACUCUGGCUCCCUCUGGAUGGGCCUGAGCUCAUUCUCAGCAUGGGACCCUCUCCCUUGACCUUGGCCCUCCUCACAGCCCCUCCCUCUCCCUGCAGUUCCCUAACCUUUCCUGUCCUCACCAACUGGGACCAGCAGACCUGGGCUCCGAGGCCCUAAAAUCUAAAUGCACCUGGGGACACUUCCUCCAGAGGGGGACAGGGCCGCUGGGUGGGACAGGGAGAGAGAAGCUUGCUGAGCGGGAGGCUGUGAAGAAGCUCAGAGAUUUGGGACCAAAAAGGGAGAUUCAGCUGUGACCAAGUGAGUUAACCUCACCGUCUCCACUUCCCGGUGGACCGGGCUGUGGGUUCGCUGGGCCCGGCGUACACUGAGUGCUUGGGAGCAUUUGCUGUUACUGUUAUUGGAAGGUGGCCUCACAUGACCUGUCUUCCCCCUCACUUCUCAUGAGGGAAACUCCAGGCUCAGAGAGGGUGUGGGCCCUGUUCUGGGUCACACAGCGCUCUGAGAUGGCUGGGCUGGCGCCUCCCCAGGGCGGGUCCCUUGGGGUAGGCUCCAUUGUACUCUCCCCAGCAGGAAACCGCUGCGCUCAGCACCCUGGGCAGCGGAGAAGAGGAACGAGUUUGGCUACGUGACUGGCCCUCCCUGGAGGCUGAGCCAGGAUCAGUGCCCGGAAAACAACCUGCUGGGGUGGGCAGAGGGUGGAGGCCGCCCUGCUGGAGAAGGGGAAGUGGCCCAGGGCUGGCCUUCCCCCGGAUGGUGCUGGGAGGCGGCAGCUGGCUGCUUCCCUGACAUGUGGCCUCUCUGAGGAGCCGUGGGCAUGCGGGUGGGCAGCGAAGCCAGUGGGCACACGUGGCCUCUGGGGUGAUCCGUGUGGGACACCUGCCACUCAUUGGCUCAGGCGUAUGGGGAUUCAGCGGGCAUCCAGGUGGGAGGAAGGCUCAGCCCUGCCCACGGGCUGCUUGGCUCCCAGGGAGCUGGUACCUGCAGGGCCAAAGCCCAGAGCUAAGAGGCUGAGCCCCUGCGGAGCUGCCUUGCCUCCUGGAGCCAGGUGAGUCCCUCAGGCCUCCUGGAGCCAUGGCCGCCUCCCCUCUGCAUCCAGAGCUGACUUGGGGCCAGGAAACUGGCUGGGAGGACAAGGCCCUGCAGGUCCCCGUUAGGCCAGGGACCCCAGGGAGGGUGCUGAAUGUCAGACCAGCCAGGAGCCAAAGGGGAGCCAUUGAAGGAGGCAGCACAGUGCAGAAGGGGGUCCGAUGAGGCCACGGAAGGGACCAGACUGGAGGCUCGGAGGCCAAAGCUAGGGGGGUAAAGACCA